GGUGAACCUGCGGAAGGAUCAUUAACGAAGCCAAUUUAUUUUGGCAUUAUUCUUUCAAUUCUGUGAACUAGAAAUUUGCUUUGGGUGGAAGUUGAUUUAUCUUCAUUCACCCAACAUUUUAAACUCUUAACCUUGAAUCAAUUGUCUGACUGAUUAAAUAAAAAUUAAUCAAAACUUUCAACAACGGAUCUCUUGGUUCUCGCAUCGAUGAAGAACGCAGCAAAACGCGAUAUGUAAUGUGAAUUGCAGAAUUUUGUGAAUCAUCGAAUUUUUGAACGCACAUUGCGCCCUCUGGUAUUCCGGAGGGCAUACCUGUUUGAGCGUCAUUUCUUCUUCAUUUUCAAAUGGUUUUGUGUGUCUUUUUUUGUACUUGUACAAAAAUCAUACUAAAUAUAAUGGCAUGAUUGUUAUUCUUGUGAAAGCGUUCUAGGUUUACCAACUACGUAAAUAACAGAUGACAGUGGUCAGGCCCUUAUAACCUCCAUUUCAAAA
rnacentral:rRNA from 1 species